rnacentral:rRNA from 1 species
GACGAACGCUGGCGGCGUGCCUAAUACAUGCAAGUCGAACGCACUCUCGUUUAGAUUGAAGGAGCUCGCUCCUGAUUGAUAAACAUUUGAGUGAGUGGCGGACGGGUGAGUAACACGUGGGUAACCUGCCCUAAAGUGGGGGAUAACAUUUGGAAACAGAUGCUAAUACCGCAUAAAACCUAACACCGCAUGGUGUAGGGUUGAAAGAUGGUUUCGGCUAUCACUUUAGGAUGGACCCGCGGUGCAUUAGUUAGUUGGUGAGGUAAAGGCUCACCAAGACCGUGAUGCAUAGCCGACCUGAGAGGGUAAUCGGCCACACUGGGACUGAGACACGGCCCAGACUCCUACGGGAGGCAGCAGUAGGGAAUCUUCCACAAUGGACGAAAGUCUGAUGGAGCAACGCCGCGUGAGUGAAGAAGGUUUUCGGAUCGUAAAACUCUGUUGUUGGAGAAGAAUGUAUCUGAUAGUAACUGAUCAGGUAGUGACGGUAUCCAACCAGAAAGCC